rnacentral:rRNA from 1 species
GAGGAAUAUUGGUCAAUGGACGAGAGUCUGAACCAGCCAAGUAGCGUGAAGGAUGACUGCCCUAUGGGUUGUAAACUUCUUUUAUAUGGGAAUAAAGUUUUCCACGUGUGGAAUUUUGUAUGUACCAUAUGAAUAAGGAUCGGCUAACUCC